GACGAACGCUGGCGGCGUGCCUAACACAUGCAAGUCGAACGGAGUAGAGAGCUUCGGUUUUCUGCUUAGUGGCGAACGGGUGAGUAACGCGUGAGUAACCUGCCUUACAGAGGGGGACAACAGUUGGAAACGACUGCUAAUACCGCAUAAUGUCUAACCGAGGCAUCUCGGAUAGACCAAAGGAGCAAUCCGCUGUAAGAUGGACUCGCGUCCAAUUAGAUAGUUGGUGGGGUAACGGCCCACCAAGUCGACGAUUGGUAGCCGGACUGAGAGGUUGAACGGCCACAUUGGGACUGAGACACGGCCCAGACUCCUACGGGAGGCAGCAGUGGGGGAUAUUGCACAAUGGGGGAAACCCUGAUGCAGCAACGCCGCGUGAAGGAAGAAGGUCUUCGGAUUGUAAACUUCUGUUUUUAGUGAAGAAACAAAUGACGGUAGCUAAAGAGGAAGCCACGGCUAACUACGUG
rnacentral:rRNA from 1 species